CAGCCGCCGCGGGAAUACGUAGGCAGCGAGCGUUGUUCGGAAUUACUGGGCGUAAAGAGUGUGUAGGCGGUGCUCUAAGUUCGGUGUGAAAUCUCCUGGCUUAACUGGGAGGGUGCGCCGGAAACUGGAGUGCUCGAGUGUGGGAGAGGAAAGCGGAAUUCCUGGUGUAGCGGUGAAAUGCGUAGAUAUCAGGAGGAACACCUGCGGUGUAGACGGCUUUCUGGACCAUUACUGACGCUGAGACACGAAAGCGUGGGUAGCAAACAGGAUUAGAUACCCGAGUAGUCCCUGUCUCUUAUAC
rnacentral:rRNA from 1 species